rnacentral:lncRNA from 1 species
AAGUUGUACACCAAGCUGGGCACUGGGGAUAAGGAUGCAGGGAGCCUGUGUGUGAAACAGGAUUAUCAGGGGGUCAUGAAGAGAGUCAAAGGAUGUCCAUCACUUCCCUUCUGGGUUUCUUGUCCUGGAGAAUCAGAGCAUCACUGGAUCACUGAAGUCUCAGUUGUGACCGGAGGCCAAACUGGAGUUAUUCUGUAGCUUGGCUGUAGGAUUGAGCUGCCAGCUCAGCCACACUUCCAGAGCUGCCUCGGGCUGACUACACCCUGCUGAGUCCGGCUCACUCUACUCAGUUGCAACCAGGAGACCUAGCUAGUAAGGACCACCCUCCCCGCCGCCUCUGGCCUCUUCGCUGUGCAGCUACUUGGAGC